rnacentral:rRNA from 1 species
AGAGUUUGAUCCUGGCUCAGAUUGAACGCUGGCGGCAGGCCUAACACAUGCAAGUCGAGCGGUAGCACAGAGAGCUUGCUCUCGGGUGACGAGCGGCGGACGGGUGAGUAAUGUCUGGGAAACUGCCUGAUGGAGGGGGAUAACUACUGGAAACGGUAGCUAAUACCGCAUAACGUCGCAAGACCAAAGUGGGGGACCUUCGGGCCUCAUGCCAUCAGAUGUGCCCAGAUGGGAUUAGCUGGUAGGUGGGGUAACGGCUCACCUAGGCGACGAUCCCUAGCUGGUCUGAGAGGAUGACCAGCCACACUGGAACUGAGACACGGUCCAGACUCCUACGGGAGGCAGCAGUGGGGAAUAUUGCACAAUGGGCGCAAGCCUGAUGCAGCCAUGCCGCGUGUGUGAAGAAGGCCUUCGGGUUGUAAAGCACUUUCAGCGGGGAGGAAGGCGGUGAGGUUAAUAACCUCAUCGAUUGACGUUACCCGCAGAAGAAGCACCGGCUAACACCGUGCCAGCAGCCGCGGUAAUACGGAGGGUGCAAGCGUUAACCGGAAUUACUGGGCGUAAAGCGCACGCAGGCGGUCUGUCAAGUCGGAUGUGAAAUCCCCGGGCUCAACCUGGGAACUGCAUUCGAAACUGGCAGGCUAGAGUCUUGUAGAGGGGGGUAGAAUUCCAGGUGUAGCGGUGAAAUGCGUAGAGAUCUGGAGGAAUACCGGUGGCGAAGGCGGCCCCCUGGACAAAGACUGACGCUCAGGUGCGAAAGCGUGGGGAGCAAACAGGAUUAGAUACCCUGGUAGUCCACGCUGUAAACGAUGUCGAUUUGGAGGUUGUGCCCUUGAGGCGUGGCUUCCGGAGCUAACGCGUUAAAUCGACCGCCUGGGGAGUACGGCCGCAAGGUUAAAACUCAAAUGAAUUGACGGGGGCCCGCACAAGCGGUGGAGCAUGUGGUUUAAUUCGAUGCAACGCGAAGAACCUUACCUGGUCUUGACAUCCACAGAACUUUCCAGAGAUGGAUUGGUGCCUUCGGGAACUGUGAGACAGGUGCUGCAUGGCUGUCGUCAGCUCGUGUUGUGAAAUGUUGGGUUAAGUCCCGCAACGAGCGCAACCCUUAUCCUUUGUUGCCAGCGGUUAGGCCGGGAACUCAAAGGAGACUGCCAGUGAUAAACUGGAGGAAGGUGGGGAUGACGUCAAGUCAUCAUGGCCCUUACGACCAGGGCUACACACGUGCUACUAUGGCAUAUACAAAGAGAAGCGACCUCGCGAGAGCAAGCGGACCUCAUAAAGUAUGUCGUAGUCCGGAUUGGAGUCUGCAACUCGACUCCAUGAAGUCGGAAUCGCUAGUAAUCGUAGAUCAGAAUGCUACGGUGAAUACGUUCCCGGGCCUUGUACACACCGCCCGUCACACCAUGGGAGUGGGUUGCAAAAGAAGUAGGUAGCUUAACCUUCGGGAGGGCGCUUACCACUUUGUGGUUCAUGACUGGGGUGAAGUCGUAACAAGGUAACC